GGGCGUGCAUAGAAGAAAAAUUUUGAGAAAGAAAGAGGGGCAUGAGAAAGCCUUGUGCAUGAGGUGAAGGUCCAAAACCUUUCGAGAGAAAAAGAAAGAAAAGAAAGAAAAUUGGGCGCAGGGUUUUUGGUGUGUACCCUAGGGUUUCUACCUAGGGUUCGGGAAGUGAGAUUGGUGUGCCACGAGUGUCGUGAGUCUACCAAAUUUUAGGGAGAGAUCCAUCAGCCUCUUAACCAAUCAUGCAGGUGAUCCGAAGCAUCCGAGG
rnacentral:lncRNA from 1 species